GGGGGGGGGGGGGGGGGGGGCGGGGGCAGGGGGGGCGAGCGGACGGGGCGGGGGUAGGGGCGGGCGGGGGGGGAACACGGGGGAACGUGCCGUUAGGGUCGGAAUAACUCAGGGAAACUUGUGCUAAUACCGAAUGUGCCCUUCGGGGGAAAGAUUUAUCGCCUUUAGAGCGGCCCGCGUCUGAUUAGCUAGUUGGUUGAGGUAAUGGCUCACCAAGGCGACGAUCAGUAGCUGGUCUGAGAGGAUGAUCAGCCACAUUGGGACUGAGACACGGCCCAAACUCCUACGGGAGGCAGCAGUGGGGAAUCUUGCGCAAUGGGCGAAAGCCUGACGCAGCCAUGCCGCGUGAAUGAUGAAGGUCUUAGGAUUGUAAAAUUCUUUCACCGGGGACGAUAAUGACGGUACCCGGAGAAGAAGCCCCGGCUAACUUCGUG
rnacentral:rRNA from 1 species